GUUUAUCUGGCACAAGUAAUCACAUCAGGGAAACUCCCUCUCCUCCCCCCCCUCCUCCCUGCAGCAAGGAGAAAACACAGGCUGCAUGCAGCAGCACAAAGCUGAAACUAUCGUGUUGCUGUAGCCGAAAACUUUCUCAAAUUAGCCAGGCAUCUCCAGCAGCAGAAGGACAAAAUAUGCACUCUUCAUUGCAGAUGUUUCACUGCUAUCCCGACUAUUUUGUUCGGGGAAUACAGAGCAUUCAAAAUGCAGAUGCAUUGCAGUCAACUGGGAGCAAUCUGCUGCAACAGCUUAGGCUGCUGCUCUGUCGCUUCCCCAAACAGGAAACCACAAAGCAUUGGAGACUGAGGUCGCUGGGUCAUUAGGAGAGGCACAUAGGUUUGUCUGCAAAGUAUUAUCCUGUGCUAGAAGUAGGCCAGGAUAGAACAACAAAAAAACUGUUAAAAACACAAAAGGCAUUGAGAUGGAAGAGUAAAACUUUCUCUGCAUUAAGCAGAGAGCCUGAAACAACCUCCAGCUGUUGCUGCUAGGGUAUAACUGAAAACUCACAAGAAGAUGUGACUUGUGUGCAUUCUUUAGCCAGUUACCUGCUUUCCCAGGCCAUAAAUCAGCGUGGAAGGAUGCACUGUAAUUUCCUCUUGCUGCCUGCACUUAUUUUCAACAGCAGACUUACCCUGUAGACACAUUUCAAAACCCUUUAUGCCAAUGGUUCUGAAUUUGAAAUUCUUUGUUUAUGCUCCAGCAAACUUAACUUUGCAAACACAAGGGGUAGGAAGUAUGUAUUUGUGCAUGAGGCAGAGGGAGGACAAAAGCUUAUCAUCACUGGAGUCCCGAGCUCCGUGCUUUCAGAAAAAUAAAAAUAAAAAUCAUCCUAUUGGACCCUGCAGCAGUUCAAGGCAAAAUGGGGAUUUCCUGGUUCUGCAGCAAAAGCUAACUCCUCCUACAGUGGAACAAUUUUGAAAAGCAUGUGAAGAACCAUGAGAUUUUCUGCUGAAAGGAAGAUGAUCAGACCUCCAGUAGUCUUUUUUCCUCUGUUUCAGUGGCUCUAGGCCAUAAAGCAAGUUUCUACUGUGAAAGUCUGGAAUAAAUCUAAAUCCCUUUUGCUUCA
rnacentral:lncRNA from 1 species